rnacentral:lncRNA from 1 species
CCGGAUGAAUAUUGUGAAGGACCUUAUGCAUCUAGGUCUGUCCGAUUAGAAGUUCUGAAACAAGCUGUUUGAAAAGCUAAUUGUUGGAAGAGUUUACUUACUGUUUUAUAAGGUCCGAUCUUUACGAAUCUAUUUCAUGAUUACUGACAGAUCAAAAACAUCAAGUAUAUAUAGCAUGAAUUUGUGGGGCAUACUAUGAUUCAUUGGUCAGUUAUAAAUGAGGUCUGUAUGGGGUUUUGAUUGCGUGAUUUAUUAAAUAAGAAAUCGUUAUUUUGAAAAGUUG